GAUGAACGCUGACAGAAUGCUUAACACAUGCAAGUCAACUUGAACUUCGGUUUGGGUGGCGGACGGGUGGGUAACGCGUAAAGAACUUGCCUCACAGAUAGGGACAACAUUUGGAAACGAAUGCUAAUACCUGAUAUUAUGAUUAUAUGGCAUCGUAUAAUUAUGAAAGCUAUAUGCGCUGUGAGAGAGCUUUGCGUCCCAUUAGCUAGUUGGAGAGGUAACGGCUCACCAAGGCGAUGAUGGGUAGCCGGCCUGAGAGGGUGAUCGGCCACAAGGGGACUGAGACACGGCCCUUACUCCUACGGGAGGCAGCAGUGGGGAAUAUUGGACAAUGGACCAAGAGUCUGAUCCAGCAAUUCUGUGUGCACGAUGAAGUUUUUCGGAAUGUAAAGUGCUUUCAGUUGGGAAGAAAAAAUGACGGUACCAACAGAAGAAGUGACGGCUAAAUACGUG
rnacentral:rRNA from 1 species